GAUUAAAGCUCCGGCGGUUAGAGAUGGGCAUGCGUGUCAUUAGCUAGUUGGUGAGGUAACGGCUCACCAAGGCCACGAUGACUAGGGGGUCUGAGAGGAUGAUCCCCCACACUGGUACUGAGACACGGACCAGACUCCUACGGGAGGCAGCAGUGAGGAAUAUUGGGCAAUGGACGCAAGUCUGACCCAGCCAUGCCGCGUGCAGGAUGACUGCCCUAUGGGUUGUAAACUGCUUUUGUUUGGGAAGAAACCCCCGAUCGUGAUCGGGGCUGACGGUACCAUACGAAUAAGCAUCGGCUAACUCCGUGCCAGCAGCCGCGGUAAUACGGAGGAUGCAAGCGUUAUCCGGAUUCAUUGGGUUUAAAGGGUGCGCAGGCGGAAUAUUAAGUCAGUGGUGAAAUCCUGCAGCUUAACUGUAGAACUGCCAUUGAUACUGAUAUUCUUGAAUAUAGUUGAGGUAGGCGGAAUGUGUAAUGUAGCGGUGAAAUGCUUAGAUAUUACACAGAACACCAAUUGCGAAGGCAGCUCACUAAACUAAUAUUGACGCUGAGGCACGAAAGCGUGGGUAGCAAACAGGAUUAGAUACCCUGGUAGUCCACGCUGUAAACUAUGAUCACUCGCUGUUGGCAAUACAUCGUCAGCGGCUGAGCGAAAGCAUUAAGUGAUCCACCUGGGGAGUACGGUCGCAAGAUUGAAACUCAAAGGAAUUGACGGGGGCCCGCACAAGCGGAGGAACAUGUGGUUUAAUUCGAUGAUACGCGAGGAACCUUACCUGGGCUUAAAUGCAGAGCGACGUCCGCCGAAAGGUGGAUUCCUUCGGGCGAUCUGCAAGGUGCUGCAUGGUUGUCGUCAGCUCGUGCCGUGAGGUGUCGGGUUAAGUCCCAUAACGAGCGCAACCCUUAUCGUUAGUUGCCAGCGGGUAAUGCCGGGGACUCUAACGAAACUGCCGGCGUAAACCGUGAGGAAGGUGGGGAUGACGCCAAAUCAGCACGGCCCUUAUGUCCAGGGCUACACACGUGUUACAAUGGUCGGUACAGAGGGCAGCUACCACGCGAGUGGAUGCUAAUCUCGAAAACCGGUCUCAGUUCGGAUUGAAGUCUGCAACUCGACUUCAUGAAGCUGGAUUCGCUAGUAAUCGCGCAUCAGCCAUGGCGCGGUGAAUACGUUCCCGGGCC
rnacentral:rRNA from 1 species